rnacentral:rRNA from 1 species
UGGGGAAUAUUGCACAAUGGGCGCAAGCCUGAUGCAGCGACGCCGCGUGAGGGAUGACGGCCUUCGGGUUGUAAACCUCUUUCAGUAGGGAAGAAGCGAAAGUGACGGUACCUGCAGAAGAAGCGCCGGCUAACUACGUGCCAGCAGCCGCGGUAAUACGUAGGGCGCAAGCGUUAUCCGGAAUUAUUGGGCGUAAAGAGCUCGUAGGCGGUUUGUCGCGUCUGCCGUGAAAGUCCGGGGCUCAACUCCGGAGCUGCGGUGGGUACGGGCAGACUAGAGUGAUGUAGGGGGGACUGGAAUUCCUGGUGUGACGGUGAAAUGCGCAGAUAUCAGGAGGAACACCGGUGGCGAAGGCAGGUCUCUGGGCAUUAACUGACGCUGAGGGGCGAAAGCAUGGGGAGCGAACAGG